UACGAAGGGGGCAAGCGUUGUUCGGAUUUACUGGGCGUAAAGGGUGCGUAGGCGGCCCUGCAAGUUGGAUGUGAAAGCCCUGGGCUCAACCCAGGAAUAGCAUUCAAAACUACAGGGCUCGAGUGUGGAAGAGGAUGGUGGAAUUUCCAGUGUAGAGGUGAAAUUCGUAGAUAUUGGAAAGAACACCCGUGGCGAAGGCGGCCAUCUGGUCCACAACUGACGCUGAGGCACGAAAGCGUGGGGAGCAAACAGG
rnacentral:rRNA from 1 species